CCUACGGGUGGCUGCAGUGGGGAAUAUUGGACAAUGGGGGCAACCCUGAUCCAGCCAUGCCGCGUGUGUGAAGAAGGCCCUCGGGUUGUAAAGCACUUUCAGUGAGGAAGAACGCCUGGUGGUUAAUACCCUUCAGGAAAGACAUCACUCACAGAAGAAGCACCGGCUAACUCCGUGCCAGCAGCCGCGGUAAUACGGAGGGUGCGAGCGUUAAUCGGAAUUACUGGGCGUAAAGCGCGCGUAGGUGGCUUGAUAAGCCGGUUGUGAAAGCCCCGGGCUCAACCUGGGAACGGCAUCCGGAACUGUCAAGCUAGAGUGCAGGAGAGGAAGGUAGAAUUCCCGGUGUAGCGGUGAAAUGCGUAGAGAUCGGGAGGAAUACCAGUGGCGAAGGCGGCCUUCUGGACUGACACUGACACUGAGGUGCGAAAGCGUGGGUAGCAAACAGGAUUAGAUACCCUAGUAGUC
rnacentral:rRNA from 1 species